rnacentral:tRNA from 1 species
CCUGGGUGGCUCAGUCGGUUGAGCGUCUGACUUCGGCUCAGGUCAUGAUCUCACAGUUCGUGGGUUCAAGCCCCGCCAUCAGGC